rnacentral:rRNA from 1 species
GAUCCUCGCUCAGGAUGAACGCUAGCUACAGGCUUAACGCAUGCAAGUCGAGGGGCAUCAGAAAGAAAGCUUGCUUUCUUUGCUGGCGACCGGCGCACGGGUGAGUAACACGUAUCCAACCUGCCCUUUACUCGGGGAUAGCCUUUCGAAAGAAAGAUUAAUACCCGAUGGGAUAAUGAUUCCGCAUGGUUUCAUUAUUAAAGGAUUCCGGUAAAGGAUGGGGAUGCGUUCCAUUAGGUUGUUGGUGAGGUAACGG